AUUGAACGCUGGCGGCAUGCUUUACACAUGCAAGUCGAACGGCAGCGCGGGCUUCGGCCUUGCGGCGAGUGGCGAACGGGUGAGUAAUGCAUCGGAACGUGCCCAGUAGUGGGGGAUAGCGUGGGGAAAGCCGGAUUAAUACCGCAUACGACCUGAGGGUGAAAGCGGGGGACCGAAAGACCUCGCGCUAUCGGAGCGGCCGAUGUCGGAUUAGCUAGUUGGUGGGGUAAAGGCUUACCAAGGCGACGAUCCGUAGCUGGUCUGAGAGGACGACCAGCCACACUGGGACUGAGACACGGUCCAGACUCCUACGGGAGGCAGCAGUGGGGAAUUUUGGACAAUGGGGGCAACCCUGAUCCAGCCAUGCCGCGUGCGUGAAGAAGGCCUUCGGGUUGUAAACCACUUUUGGUUGGGAAGAAAUCCUCUGAGCUAAUACCCCGCGGUGAUGACGGUACCGGAAGAAUAAGCACCGGCUAACUACGUG
rnacentral:rRNA from 1 species